rfam:Capsicum annuum cultivar Zunla-1 chromosome 6, whole genome shotgun sequence
GAUGGUGGUGUGGACAAUUUCUCAAGUAUCCCUUGUAUCUCUCCUAAGCAUGGGGGAAGGAUUUGACAUCUUUUUGAACAAAUCCAGAAAUCCUGCCUCUGAGAUC